CACAUGCAAGUCGAACGGUGAACACGGAGCUUGCUCUGUGGGAUCAGUGGCGAACGGGUGAGUAACACGUGAGCAACCUGCCCCUGACUCUGGGAUAAGCGCUGGAAACGGCGUCUAAUACUGGAUAUGUGACGUGACCGCAUGGUCUGCGUCUGGAAAGAAUUUCGGUUGGGGAUGGGCUCGCGGCCUAUCAGCUUGUUGGUGAGGUAAUGGCUCACCAAGGCGUCGACGGGUAGCCGGCCUGAGAGGGUGACCGGCCACACUGGGACUGAGACACGGCCCAGACUCCUACGGGAGGCAGCAGUGGGGAAUAUUGCACAAUGGGCGCAAGCCUGAUGCAGCAACGCCGCGUGAGGGACGACGGCCUUCGGGUUGUAAACCUCUUUUAGCAGGGAAGAAGCGAAAGUGACGGUACCUGCAGAAAAAGCGCCGGCUAACUACGUGCCAGCAGCCGCGGUAAUACGUAGGGCGUAAGCGUUAUCCGGAAUUAUUGGGCGUCAAGAGCUCAUAGGCGGUUUGUCGCGUCGGCUGUGAAAUCCGGAGGCCUUAUCUU
rnacentral:rRNA from 1 species